rnacentral:tRNA from 1 species
GGGCCAUUAGCUUAUCUGGUAGAGCAUCGCAUUCGCAUUGCGAAGAGGGGAGUUCAAGUCUCCCAUGGUCCA